rnacentral:rRNA from 1 species
UACGAGGGGGGCGAGCGUUGUUCGGAAUUAUUGGGCGUAAAGGGUGCGUAGGCGGUUCCGCAAGUCCUGUGUGAAAUCUUCGGGCUCAACUCGAAGUCUGCACGGGAAACUGCGGGGCUUGAGUGUGGGAGAGGUGAGUGGAAUUCCCGGUGUAGCGGUGAAAUGCGUAGAUAUCGGAAGGAACACCUGUGGCGAAAGCGGCUCACUGGACCAUUACUGACGCUGAUGCACGAAAGCUAGGGGAGCAAACAGG